rnacentral:rRNA from 1 species
AGAGUUUGAUCCUGGCUCAGAACGAACGCUGGCGGCAGGCCUAACACAUGCAAGUCGAACGAGAAGCUUUCUUCGGAAGGUGGAGAGUGGCACGGGUGAGUAACGCGUGGGGAUCUGCCCUUUGGUACGGGAUAACGUUUGGAAACGAACGCUAAUACCGUAUGUGGUCUACGGACUAAAGAUUUAUCGCCAAAGGAUGAACCCGCGUAGGAUUAGGUAGUUGGUAGGGUAAUGGCCUACCAAGCCUACGAUCUUUAGCUGGUCUGAGAGGACGAUCAGCCACACUGGAACUGAGACACGGUCCAGACUCCUACGGGAGGCAGCAGUGGGGAAUAUUGGACAAUGGGCGAAAGCCUGAUCCAGCCAUGCCGCGUGAGUGAAGAAGGCCCUAGGGUUGUAAAGCUCUUUCGCUAGGGAAGAUAAUGACGGUACCUAGUAAAGAAGCCCCGGCUAACUCCGUGCCAGCAGCCGCGGUAAUACGGAGGGGGCUAGCGUUGUCCGGAAUCACUGGGCGUAAAGCGUACGCAGGCGGCUUAGUAAGUUGGGUGUGAAAUCCCGGGGCUCAACCCCGGAACUGCAUUCAAAACUGCUAGGCUUGAAUACGGGAGAGGGAAGCGGAAUUCCUGGUGUAGAGGUGAAAUUCGUAGAUAUCAGGAGGAACACCAGUGGCGAAAGCGGCUUCCUGGCCCGAUAUUGACGCUCAUGUACGAAAGCAUGGGGAGCAAACAGGAUUAGAUACCCUGGUAGUCCAUGCUGUAAACGAUGAAUGCCAGCUAUUGGGCAGUAUACUGUUCAGUGGCGCAGCUAACGCAUUAAGCAUUCCGCCUGGGGAGUACGGUCGCAAGACUAAAACUCAAAGAAAUUGACGGGGGCCCGCACAAGCGGUGGAGCAUGUGGUUUAAUUCGAAGCAACGCGCAGAACCUUACCAGCUCUUGACAUCCCGAUCGCGGUUACCGGAGACGGUUUCCUUCAGCUAGGCUGGAUCGGUGACAGGUGCUGCAUGGCUGUCGUCAGCUCGUGUCGUGAGAUGUUGGGUUAAGUCCCGCAACGAGCGCAACCCUCGCCUUUAGUUGCCAGCAUUUAGUUGGGCACUCUAGAGGGACUGCCGGUGAUAAGCCGGAGGAAGGUGGGGAUGACGUCAAGUCCUCAUGGCCCUUAUGGGCUGGGCUACACACGUGCUACAAUGGCGGUGACAGAGGGUUAAUCCCUAGCGAGGUUGAGCAAAUCCCUAAAAACCGUCUCAGUUCGGAUUGUACUCUGCAACUCGAGUGCAUGAAGGUGGAAUCGCUAGUAAUCGCGGAUCUGCAUGCCGCGGUGAAUACGUUCCCGGGCCUUGUACACAGCGCCCGUCACACCAUAGGAGUUGGUUUUACCCGACGCUGGUGAGCUAACCUUUUAGGAGGCAGCCAACCACGGUAGAGUCAGCGACUGGGGUGAAGUCGUAACAAGGUAGCCGUAGGGGAACCUGCGGCUG